UACGUAGGUGGCAAGCGUUGUCCGGAAUUAUUGGGCGUAAAGCGCGCGCAGGCGGUCCUUUAAGUCUGAUGUGAAAGCCCACGGCUCAACCGUGGAGGGUCAUUGGAAACUGGGAGACUUGAGUGCAGAAGAGGAAAGCGGAAUUCCACGUGUAGCGGUGAAAUGCGUAGAGAUGUGGAGGAACACCAGUGGCGAAGGCGGCUUUCUGGUCUGUAACUGACGCUGAGGCGCGAAAGCGUGGGGAGCAAACAGG
rnacentral:rRNA from 1 species